CCCUGCGCGGAGCGCGCCCUCCGGGCGCGAGCACCGUCAGCCUCACCGCCCGUGGUCUCCUGGCUCCGGGAGCCUUGCUCCCUAGCUCUCCAGUAGGUGCGUCGGCGGAUUUGCCCUAGCUCCCGGGUUGGAAUUUGAGGAAGCACGUUAAGGUUCCAGGCCUCCCCGGGAUCCAACCUGGAGCUGCGGAGUGGUGUCACCUCCAGGAACCCACCUGGCUUCUGCCUGCACGCUCAAGCAAACUAAAGGUUCCCGAACCCCUCUCUGUGCUUCAGAAAGGGUCAAGGUUUCGGAUACUACUUUCUCUUCGUCCAAAAUGCAAAAUCAUCUUUCCCUAAAUCACAUUCUUUCUCUAGAUUUCACUAUAAGAAUUUUUUCGGGAUUAAUUAUGGGGCCAUCCGUUUCCCUCCCAAAGAUAUCACCCACAGACAUGCAUACACCACACACCUUCCCAAGCAGAGACUGUAGGUUGUUACCGGGUUUGAUACAAGCCUGUCUUUCCAUUUCCUUUGCUAUCUCACCAGUCUGCUUUGGUUAUUAUUGAUCGCUUACUAAAUGCUAUUCUUCCCUAUCCACUAGGAAGACCACAAUCAGUUUGAUUUCCUUAAAACUGCUUUACAUACUUCGACUUUCUGCUCCCAGAAACUUAAGGGGUUCCUCAAUAUGACCCUCAUCCCUCUCUGUCUUAUCUCUUUCUUCCUUCCUUCCUUCCUUCAUUCCUUUCUUUCUCUUUUUUUUUUGUACCAGGAGUUGAACCCAGGAGCACUUAACCACUGAGCCACAACUCCAUCCCUUUUUAAUUUUUUUUGAGACAUGGUCUUGCUAAGUUGCUUAAGGCAUUGGUAAAUUGUUAAGGCUGGCCUCAAACUUGUGAUCCUCCUGCCUCAGGCUCUGGAACCGCUGGGAAUUACAGACCUGCCCAACCAGGCCUGGUUUAUCUCUUUUUAAAAAAGUUUUAUUGAAGAAUGAUUGACAAGAUAAUCUAAACAUAUUUAAAUAUACAAUUUGAUAAGUUUUGACCUAUGUAUACACCCAUGAGAUAAACCAUUAUCCCAAUCAAAAUAGUGAACAUAUUCAUCAUCAUCCUCAAGUUUCCGGCCGCUUUUUGUAACCAUUUCAUCCUGUCACUCCCUAUCAAGGCCCUUAGCAAUUGGAGUUGUCUCUUGGUGCCCUCCGGACUUUGAUUCCAGGAUUCCCCCUACCCAUACUAAAAUCAGCAGAUGUCAAGUCCCUUAUAAAAUGGUGUAGUUUUUGCAUAUAACAUACACACAUGUUCACAUAUACUUUAUUUUUUAAACUCUUUUUUAAUAUUUAUUUUUUAGUUAUAGACAAACACAAUAUUUUUUUUUUAUGUGGUGCUGAGGAUCGAACCCAGUGCCUCACACAUGGUAGGUGAGUGCUCUACCUCUGAGCCACGACCCCUGUCCUCAUAUAUACUUUAAAUUAUCCCUAAUCUAUUAUGUAGUAGAAUGUAAAUGUUGUGUUAAUAAUUGUUAAACUGUAUUUCUUAGAGAAUAGUAAUAAGAUUUUUUCUUAUUAGUCUCUACAUGUUCAAUACAGAUGUGAUUUUUUCCCUCAAGUAUUUUUCAUUCUCUGGUUAAAUACACAGAUGUUGAACUCAUGGAUAGGGAGGACCAAUUGCACUGACCUGUUUUCAGUCACCACAGAUUAGUUAGCACACGUUCAAGUUUUAUAUACUGGCGUCACACAAUGCACAUGUUUGUUGGGGGGUCUGGUUUUUUUCAUGCUGCAUAAUUAUUACCUCUCAAACAUUAUGACGUACUGUUCACUAUAGCAGGAUCUUUUCUCCAACAAAACUGAUCCAACCACUGUUUCCCUAGCAAGCUUUGACUGUGCUUGUAAACAAUCUUCUGGCAAUCUUCAGGUAUCGGGUAUUCCUUUUUCAUCUGGCAGGUCUAGCAGAACCAAGGCUUUAAAAUGUUUUAAUAUAUGUGUCACAUUAGAUUGCCAGCCCCUUGGGGCAAGGAUCUUGACUAAUUAAACAUGCAUUCAAUAAAUGUUUAUCUUCCAGAUUUCAACCAGGCCUACACAUUUCCUGUCUUUAGGGAUUUAUAAUCUAGAAGGUGGAGACAACCAAACCAGAAAAUCAAAAUACAAUAAGGGGGGAGGGGCUGGAGUUGUGGCUCAGUGGCACAGUGCUGGCCUAGCAUGUGUGAGGCACUGGGUUCAAUUCUCAGCACCAUAUAUAAAUAAACAAAAUAAAAGUCCAUUGACAACUAAAAACCAUUUUUAAAAAAAUACAAUAAGAGUACUUUGUUUCCCUGGAACUUUAUAACUCUUGACUUUUUUGUGCCUACAAAAAAUGCUUCACUCCUGUCUUGAAUGAUGUAGAAGUGAAACAAGGUGAGCUCCUUGACAGUUUCCAGAACUCUGAUAAAUUGUAGGGUUUAAAGUUGGAAAUGAGGAACAGGAUUUAUCCAUAAUUGAACUAAUCCAAAUAAAUUUCCUAAUUUUCAGGUAAGCAGAUAGUCUUUAAGUUUAUGUGUUGGCCAGCAAUCAUUCUGAAGAAUGAAUUUAUUCACAAAAAAAUAUGUAUCCAGUGCCUAAGGAUAUGUUAGGAACAGUUAUAGUCAAUGUUCAGUGACAAACUGAUAAAUUCAGUAUUUCAGAAAAUGUUUAUUAAAUGUUUUAAUAAAAUGUUUAUUCUUUUCUCACAAUUCUUU
rnacentral:lncRNA from 1 species